rnacentral:lncRNA from 10 species
CCCCCGCCCCCAUCGUUCUCCCCAAAAUGGGGCUGAGGAGGGGCACAUCUGGCGGACCCCUCCCAGGUGACGAGGCAGGUUUAGCAGGUGCGAAGCCUGGAACCCCCACACCCACCUUCCAGGGAGAAAAGUGCCGCUGCUUUCCGGGAAGUUCCCGGCUUUUCAGCACCCGGAACAACAGCAUUGGCGCAGGGGAGACGCUCUCCAUUCGCCCCUUGCUCGCGUCCAGUCGCCGGCUCCGUGCUCUUCUGCCCAGGCUUUCUCUCACCCGCCCAGUGCUGCGUCCUGCAGACCCAGCCUCCUGCGGGGAUAGGGAGCACCUUCCCCAAAGCCAGGAGAAGGGGUCUCCCUGGACAAGGACAUCCUGCUCGCCCUGCCCGGAGGAAACCAACAUGGCUUUGCCUGCCAGUGGAGAGAAGUGGAGAAGAAUGCUUCAAGGCAGAGAGCUUGGACUCCACAGAGAUGGCUAAAAGGGACAGACAUAAAAGAAACUCAGCUUGAUUCAAGGGUUAUACAGAUGUGAUCAAGGAUUUUACAAUGGAGAGAUAAUACUGGAUUAUCUGGGUGAGCUCUAAAUGUAAUCCCAUGCAUUCUUACAAGAGGCAGGCAGAGGGAGAUUUGACACAGACAGAAGAGAAGGCAAUGUGACUGCGAAUCAGAUAUUGAAGUAAUGUGGCCGCAAACCAAGGAAAGCCAUCAGCCUUCAGAAGAAUCAAGGAAUGAAUUCUCCUCUACAGCCUCUGAAGCGAACAAAACCCUGCCAACACCUUGAUUUCAGUCGAGUGAUAAUUAUUUCACACCUUUUGCCCCCAACAAUGUGAGAGAAUAAAUUUCUGUUAUUUCAAGCCAUCAAGUUUGUAGUAAUUUGUUACAGCAGCCAUAGAAACCUAAUAAACU